rnacentral:rRNA from 1 species
CCGUGCCCCAUAGUCUGGGAUACCACUUGGAAACAGGUGCUAAUACCGGAUAAGAAAGCAGAUCGCAUGAUCAGCUUUUAAAAGGCGGCGUAAGCUGUCGCUAUGGGAUGGCCCCGCGGUGCAUUAGCUAGUUGGUAAGGUAAAGGCUUACCAAGGCGAUGAUGCAUAGCAGAGUUGAGAGACUGAUCGGCCACAUUGGGACUGAGACACGGCCCAGACUCCUACGGGAGGCAGCAGCA